rnacentral:rRNA from 1 species
AUUGAACGCUGGCGGCAUGCUUUACACAUGCAAGUCGAACGGCAGCGCGGGCUUCGGCCUGGCGGCGAGUGGCGAACGGGUGAGUAAUGCAUCGGAACGUGCCCAGUAGUGGGGGAUAGCCCGGCGAAAGCCGGAUUAAUACCGCAUACGACCUGAGGGUGAAAGCGGGGGACCGAAAGGCCUCGCGCUAUUGGAGCGGCCGAUGUCGGAUUAGCUAGUUGGUGGGGUAAAGGCUCACCAAGGCGACGAUCCGUAGCUGGUCUGAGAGGACGACCAGCCACACUGGGACUGAGACACGGCCCAGACUCCUACGGGAGGCAGCAGUGGGGAAUUUUGGACAAUGGGGGCAACCCUGAUCCAGCCAUGCCGCGUGCGGGAAGAAGGCCUUCGGGUUGUAAACCGCUUUUGUUCGGGAAGAAAUCCUCUGGGCUAAUACCCCGGGGGGAUGACGGUACCGGAAGAAUAAGCACCGGCUAACUACGUG